GUUCUUGUCUUGUGUGCAUGUACAGAAGGGAGGGAGGAUAAGGAGACGAGGAUUGGAUCGGUCUAGCCGGUGCGGCGGUCGCUGCCCUUGUACGACGAGGCGGUGACGGCCUGGAGAGAGAGAGAGAGAGAGGUUUAGGGAUUAGAGAUUAGGGGAGAGUCUAAACUGAACGUCCAAUCCAAGAACAACACGACACUAAGUAAACGAGGUCUAGCUUCAGCGGCCACAACCACAGGCACCACGGCGACCCACAACGUCUAGUCUCAAGUUUCCGUACCGGUACCUCGUCUAGCUCGUAUUCACGUCUAUCUUUCUACUUCUGUCACCCUCCUUCUGUUUGACGACCAAACCGAUAAACCCAUUCUUACCUCUGCACACUUCAGAACGUUACCGAACGAGACGAGAGAGAAGAAAAUUAUAGUCUUUUGGUGGAAGGAACCGACCAUACCGACGGGUAGGGGAAGAGGUAACAAGAGUGUCCACGAUCGAAAAUUAACCGACUUCCAACUUCGGGUAUGUAUCUGAUAUGACAACUGGGUAACUGAUAAUUAGAUAACACGUGCACUCUCACCACCAGUCACGCACAGAGUUUACACAGAACGAUAAGACCAACUGGGUCUCUAUAAAAACCCAACCAGAUUCAAACCACACCGUAACAACAUAUCUAAUCGUAUCAGACCAGAGGGAUGUAAAAGAAAAAGGUUUUAAACAUUAUGUGAACAUAUCGACAUGACAAACUCCAUAUACUUAUAUCUAUAUAUAAACUC
rnacentral:rRNA from 1 species